rnacentral:tRNA from 1 species
AGAGGGUUAGCUCAGCUGGUUCAGAGCAUCUGUUUUACACACAGAAGGUCGACAGUUCGAACCUGUCACCCUCUA